rnacentral:snRNA from 1 species
UAACUCUGGUUUCUCUUCAUCCAUUCGGAUAAAUCUUUCGCCUUUUACUAAAGAUUUCCGUGGAGAGGAACAUCACAAUGAGUCUAAUGACUAAUUUCUUACACCCUGAAUUGACAGGGUU